AACGUAGGAGGCAAGCGUUAUCCGGAUUUACUGGGCGUAAAGCGUGUGCAGGCGGUUGUCCAAGUCGUGGAUGAAAGCGCUCCGCUUAACGGGGCGAGGCUAGACGAGACUGGGCGACUAGAAUCAGACAGAGGCAAGCGGAAUUCCGGGUGUAGUGGUGAAAUGCGUAGAGAUGUGGAGGAACACCGAUGGCGAAGGCAGCCCCCUGGGCUAACACUGACGCUCAGGCACGAAAGCGUGGGGAGCAAACAGG
rnacentral:rRNA from 1 species